GAGAGAUUGUGUGUGUGUGUGUGUGUGUGUGUGUGUGUGUGUGUGUGAGAUUGCGUGUGUCAGAGAUUGUGUGUCUGAAUCUACUACAAUAAUGGAGAUCUUCUUGGUUUCUUGUUUCUCAGCUUCCCCUCUGGUUCACGUAGUGAGGCCUCCUCCUCCUCUUCCUCCUCCUCCUCUUCCUCCCCCCUCCUCCUCCUCCUCCUCGCCGGCUGUAGCUCCGCCCCUGAUGUCUCAGGCCACGCCCCUCAUCCUGACGCAGACCAGUAGCGGGACGUUCCUGCUCCCAGCAGCCCCUGGGACACACCCCGGCUCGCCCAUCCUCUUCUCCACACAGGGUUUCCCGAUGAUGAACCGCGGCGCUCCCCUGGUGCUGAACCUGCGGCCGGGUCAGACGGUGCAGCCACUCACGCUGAUCCAGUCGCCGUCGUUGGGUCAGCUGGUCCGGCCCAGCGUGGGCGUGUCCCCGAUCCUGACCCAGAGCCGACCGGGCGCCGCCCAGACGGGAGCCUUCACCGCCAUGCUGAGCAUCCGCACCGGCACGCCACAACCUGUUAACUUCCAGAUGACCCAGGUGGGCGGAGCCAGCCCUCUGAAGCUGGCAGGAAGCCCCGCCCUCCCCUCAGGAUCGGCUAAUGGAGUCGCCAGAAUCAGUGAGUUAGUUUGUUCUUCUGUUUGAGCGCUGGGAACUAAUGGUGCGUUCACAGCAGGGUGUUUUUGACGCUUAUUCCAACGUUUCUGUCAGUGUUUUCUCUGUUUGUUAUGCUUUUUCUGGCGUUUUUGCCACUUUAUUUGGCUCAAUUCAAACCGGCUCUAAAUGUUUUUUCUGUUCCACUUCGAUGUUCCAAAGCGCUGGGAGCUAAUGCUGCGUUUUCACCCACAUCCGGUGGCGUGAUUACAACAGACGUGAGUUCACAGCGGUGCAAAUGAGGCGAAGACGGGGAAAUAUCGCUGUUCGCGUCGCCGUAAAUUUGCGAUAAAGGGGGCUGUCUUUGGGCGAAGUAAAGGCGCUGACACACCAACCCGAUUAUCGGCCGUCUGGCGAGGUCGGUGACUCGAGUCUGUUUGGUGUGUUCUGUGCCGUCGUCCGUCGGAGGAGCCGUCGGCCUUCAUUUGGGCCGAUUUCACUUGUUGAAUCGGCCAGCGGGCAGUCGGACUCAAGGACCAAUCUGAUUGGUGGAGUUCUAUCCCUUGACUAGCGAAUCAGAGCAUGAAAAACCGGGAAGUGACGUGUAAACAUACCAGAUAAACAGUGAUGGUGCAGACCCGCUCACUCACUAUCAUCGCAUCAUUUGGAUUAUUGAAUUGGAUUUCUGUUGGAUUUUGGAUCAUCGUGACUCUGUGGACCGAAGCACUCGAAGACGAGUUGAUCAGCAUGAUCGAGGAGAGGCCGCCGCUGUACAACGCAUCUGAAAAGAACUAUUCCAACCAAGUAGUGAAGAGAGACUGCUGGCGUCAGAUCACGGAGAAAAUACAUAUAUCAGGUAAGACUUUCUCUUCUAUCUAAUUGUGUGUACAUCCCACCUUCGUACAAUGUGUAGGACAAAGGGCAGAAUGCAUGAAAGACAGGAAAGAGACCCUGUUUAGGGCGGCUCAAGCCCCCCUAAAUUUCAUCUCAGCACCCCUAAAAAUAAUAAUAAUAAAAAUUAAAUCAACUUUGGUGCUUCAAGUGAGAGUUUGGUAACUUGUGUGUUAGUGACAGAGGACAAACAAUAUAACAGCAUGUUGGAAAGGGUUAACAGAAAUGUAGUGUUGGCCAAUCAGAAGAGGUUGUGCCGGAGUCUCGCUCUAUCUGAUCUGUGAGAGGGAGAGCAGGAGACGGUUGUGAAGUUUAAUGUUGGUAGGGGCGGGGGAAAAAAUCCAUACAGCAUAGUAUCGCAAUAUUUUCCGUGGCAAUACUGUAUGGAUACACAGACGCCAAGUAUGGAUCUAUUAUUAUAUAUGUGUUGGUCAGUCUGUCUGCUUGAUAAUCCCAUUUUGCAGCAACAAAAUUGAAGUGAGAUGAACAAACAGAGACAUGUAUGUUUUUAGAUAAAACAGAUGUUGACAAAGUUUACUUUUGGGGACAUCAUUUGAAAUUGGGGGAAAAUUAGAAGUUGGAAAAAAGGUAAUAAAUUGCAAUAUAUCGCAGAAUAUUGCAAUAUGUUUAAAAUGGCAAUAAUAUCGUAUCGUAAGGCCUCUGGUGAU
ensembl:lncRNA